AUUGAACGCUGGCGGCAGGCCUAACACAUGCAAGUCGAGCGAGCGGCGGACGGGGGUGUAAUGUCUAGGAAACUGCCUGAUGGAGGGGGAUAACAACUGGGAACGGGAGCGAAUACCGCGUACCAUCAGGUGUGCACACAUGGGAUUUGCUAGUAGGUGGGGUAAAGGCUCACCUAGGCGACGAUCCCUCUCUGGUCUGAGAGGAUGACCAGCCAUACUGUGACGGAGACACGGCCCAGAAUCCUACGGGAGGCAGCAGUGGGGAAUAUUGCACAAUGGGCGCAAGCCUGAUGCAGCCAUGCCGCGUGUGUGAAGAAGGCCUUAGGGUUGUAAAGCACUUUCAGCGGGGAGGCGUUACCCGCAGAAGAAGCACCGGCUAACUCCGUGCCAGCCGCCGCGGUAAUUG
rnacentral:rRNA from 1 species